CCUGGAAAAUAUAUCCGGCGUGCCAAAAUUAUUUAUAAAUAUUGUUAAUUAUAGACAUGUCCAGAUAGGGCUUGCAAAUAUAUAUAUAUUGUUAUUACAGACACGUCUAGAUAGGGUUUGCAAAUAAAUACGGCUUGCAAAUUAUUAUUAUUGUUAUUACAGACAUGUCUAGAUAGGGCUUUCAAAUAUAUACGGCUUGCAAAUUAUUAUUAUUAUUACAGACAUGUCUAGAUAGGGCUUGCAAAUAUAUACGGCUUGCAAAUUAUUAUUAUUAUUAUUAUUAUUAUUAAAGACAUGUCUAGAUAGGGCUUGCAAAUAUAUACGGCUUAAAAAUUAUUAUUAUUAUUGUUAAUAUAGACAUGUCCAGAUAGGGCUUGUAAAUAUAUAUAUAUAUUGUUAUUACAGACACGUCUAGGUAGGGUUUGCAAAUAUAUAUGGCUUGCAAAUUAUUAUUAUUAUUAUUAUUAUUAUUAUUAUUAUUACAGACAUGUCUAGAUAGGGCUUGGAAAUUUAUAUGGCUUGCAAAUUAUUAUUAUUAUUAUUAUUAUUACAGACAUGUCUAGAUAGGGCUUGCAAAUAUAUACGGCUUGCAAAUUAUUAUUAUUAUUAUUAUUACAGACAUAUCUAGAUAGGGCUUGCAAAUAUAUACGGCUUGCAAAUUAUUAUUAUUAUUAUUAUUAUUAUUAUUAUUAUACACAUGUCUAGAUAGGGCUUGCAAAUAUGUACAGCUUGCAAAUUAUUAUUAUUGUUGUUAUUACAGACAUGUCUAGAUAGGGCUUGCAAAUAUAUACAGCUUGCAAAUUAUUAUUAUUACAGACAUGCCUAGAUAGGGCUUGCAAAUAUAAACAGCUAGCAAAUAUUUCAGGUGAAAUGAAUAUGUGAAAUUUUAUAUAAUUACAGAUCUGUAUCUAAAUCUACACGUAAGAGAGGAAUGCAAGGGCCUGACCUGACCUGCAUUCACUGAAUGAUAAAAAGGAGCAUUUGCAAAAAAAAAUUUUUUAAAGGGGGGGGGUGCCUUUGCAAAGGCGGGGCAGGCCUUGGGGAGGGGAGGGGAGGGGAGGGGCGGGGGUCUUUGCCUCUAUGAUUCUGUGAUUCCCCCCUUUUCUGUCCCAGAAGGGAGGGAGGAAGAAGAAGAGGAGGAGGAGGAAGAGGAAGAGGAGGGGAAGAGGAGGAGGAAGCCGAGCAAAAAAGGGGGGGCUCACUUUCUUCCUUGGCCGACGGAGCGCUGGCUGCCUUGCCAUUUCCAAGCGGAGCAUGUGUAUUGGAACCAAUGUGCAUCAUGACAAGUAUCGGUUUGUGGCCGAAGGCUUUCAUGGCCGGAAUCACCAGGAGCAUUCUCUCCUGACGUUUCGCCCACAGGCAUCCUCAGAGGUUGUGAAGUCUGUUGUAAACUAGGCAAGUCAGUUUUAUAUAUUUAUCGGUGGAAUAAUGUCAAGGGUGGGAGAGUGUGAA
rnacentral:lncRNA from 11 species